rnacentral:rRNA from 1 species
UAAGACCUCAAAUCAGGUGGGACUACCUGCUGAACUUAAGCAUAUCAAUAAGCAGAGGAAAAGAAACUAACCAGGAUUCCCCUAGUAAUGGCGAGUGAAGAGGGAAAAGCCCAAAUUUGUAAUCUGGCUCUUUUUAAAGGAGUCUGAGUUGUAAUUUUGAGAACUGUUUUCAGUGCUGGACCAUGUACAAGUCUGUUGAAAAACAGCAUCAUUGAGGGUGAUAAUCCCGUUCAUGAUAUGGACUACCAAGUGCAAUAUGAUACAGUCUCUAAGAGUCGAGUUGUUUGGGAAUGCAGCUCAAAAAGGGYGGUAAAUUCCAUCUAAGGCUAAAUAUUGAUGAGAGACCGAUAGCAAACAAGUACCGUGAGGGAAAGAUGAAAAGAACUUUGGAAAGAGAGUUAACAGUACGYGAAAUUGUUAAAAGGGAAACAAUUGAAGUUAGUCUUGUUAUUAUUGGUUCAGCUUUAAAUAGUGUAUYCCAAUUUUUAACAGAUCAACAUCAAUUCUUGGGUGUUGGAUAAGGGUCUUGUGAAAUGUAGCAGCUUUUUUGCUGUGUUAUAGUCUGAAACUUUGAUACAGUGCCUAGGAUUGAGGAAUGCAGUGAGC